CCUACGGGGGGCAGCGGUGGGGAAUAUUGGACAAUGGGCGAAAGCCUGAUCCAGCCAUGCCGCGUGUGUGAAGAAGGCCUUCGGGUUGUAAAGCACUUUCAGUGGGGAAGAAAGCCUUGGGGCUAAUACCCUCGAGGAAGGACAUCACCCACAGAAGAAGCACCGGCUAACUCCGUGCCAGCAGCCGCGGUAAUACGGAGGGUGCGAGCGUUAAUCGGAAUUACUGGGCGUAAAGCGCGCGUAGGCGGUCUGAUAAGCCGGUUGUGAAAGCCCCGGGCUCAACCUGGGAACGGCAUCCGGAACUGUCAGGCUAGAGUGCAGGAGAGGAAGGUAGAAUUCCCGGUGUAGCGGUGAAAUGCGUAGAGAUCGGGAGGAAUACCAGUGGCGAAGGCGGCUUUCUGGACUGACACUGACGCUGAGGUGCGAAAGCGUGGGUAGCAAACAGGAUUACAUACCCCUGUAGUC
rnacentral:rRNA from 1 species